CCGGACCCGGCCGCGCGGCCGGGUGGCUCUUCCGGCCGCCGAUCCGCCGGAUAAC
rnacentral:ncRNA from 1 species